rnacentral:rRNA from 1 species
CCUACGGAGGGCAGCAGUGAGGAAUAUUGGUCAAUGGGCGGAAGCCUGAACCAGCCAAGUAGCGUGCAGGAUGACGGCCCUACGGUUUGUAAACUGCUUUUAUACGGGAAUAACGCGCCUUACGUGUAGGGCUUUGCAUGUACCGUAUGAAUAAGGACCGGCUAAUUCCGUUCCAGCAGCCGCGGUAAUACGGUAGGUCCGGGCGUUAUCCGGAUUUACUGGGUUUAAAGGGAGCGUAGGCCGCAUGUCAAGCGUGCUGUGAAAUGUCCGGGCUCAACCCGGGCCUGGCAGCGCGAACUGGCGUGCUUGAGUCCGCGGAAGGCAGGUGGAAUUCGUCGUGUAGCGGUGAAAUGCUUAGAUAUGACGAAGAACCCCGAUUGCGAAGGCAGCUUGCUGCGGCGGAACUGACGCUGAUGCUCGAAAGCGCGGGUAUCGAACAGGAUUAGAUACCCUUGUAGUC